CAAAAAGUAGCUUAUUAUAAAGCUUUCGUUUUACACACGAAAAAUGUUAAACACAGACCUUUUUGA
rnacentral:tRNA from 1 species